rnacentral:misc_RNA from 1 species
GAUGAAGAACGCAGCGAAAUGCGAUACGUAAUGUGAAUUGCAGAAUUCAGUGAAUCAUCGAGUCUUUGAACGCACAUUGCGCCCCCUGGUAUUCCGGGGGGCAUGCCUGUCCGAGCGUCAUUGCUGCCCUCAAGCACGGCUUGUGUGUUGGGCCUCCGUCCUCCUCCCGGGGGACGGGCCCGAAAGGCAGCGGCGGCACCGCGUCCGGUCCUCGAGCGUAUGGGGCUUCGUCACCCGCUCUUGUAGGCCCGGCCGGCGCUUGCCGACACAUCAAUCUUUUUUCCAGGUUGACCUCGGAUCAGGUAGGACUACCCGCUGAACUUAAGCAUAUCAAUAAGCGGAGGA